GACGAACGCUGGCGGCGCGCUUAACACAUGCAAGUCGAGCGAGAACCAGUCCUUCGGGACUGGGGACAGCGGCGAACGGGUGAGUAACACGUGGGUAAUCUGCCCUCGGCACCGGAAUAGCCCGGGGAAACCCGGAUUAAUGCCGGAUGGCCUCUCCGCCCUUCGGGGCGGUGAGAAAAGGUAGCUUCGGCCUCCGGCCGAGGAUGAGCCCGCGGCCGUUUAGCUUGUUGGUGAGGUAACGGCUACCCAAGGCGACGAUCGGUAGCUGGUCUGAGAGGACGAUCAGCCACACUGGGACUGAGACACGGCCCAGACUCCUACGGGAGGCAGCAGUGGGGAAUCUUGCGCAAUGGGCGAAAGCCUGACGCAGCGACGCCGCGUGCGGGAAGAAGGCCUUCGGGUUGUAAACCGCUUUCAGGAGGGACGAAGCCACUCGGGUUAAUAGCCUAGAGGGUGACGGUACCUCCAGAAGAAGCCCCGGCUAACUACGUGCCAGCAGCCGCCGUAACAC
rnacentral:rRNA from 1 species